UGAAUACGAGACGCUAAGGCGUCGAAGUAGUGUAUGUCAUACUUCCAAGAGAAGCUUGCACUGUCAUAGAUAAAAAACGCCUGUACCAUAACCGACACAGGUGGGUAGGUAGAGUAUACUAAGGGGCGCGAGAUAACUCUCUCUAAGGAACUCGGCAAAAUAACUCCGUAACUUCGGGAGAAGGAGUGCCUUAUUCGUAAGGUUGCAAUAACAAGAUCCAAGCAACUGUUUAUCAAAAACACAGGUCUCCGCUAAGUCGUAAGACGAUGUAUGGGGGCUGACGCCUGCCCAGUGCCAGAAGGUUAAAGAAGUUGGUUAGCAAUUGCGAAGCUGAUAACUGAAGCCCUGGUGAACGGCGGCCGUAACGAUAACGGUCCUAAGGUAGCGAAAUUCCUUGUCGGGUAAGUUCCGACCCGCACGAAAGGCGUAAUGAUUUGGAUACUGUCUCGGAGAGGGGCUCGGUGAAAUAGACUUGUCUGUGAAGAUGCGGACUACCUGCACCAGGACAGAAAGACCCUAUGAAGCUUUACUGUAACUUGAAAUUGAAAUUGGACUUUAUUCGCGCAGUAUAGGUGGGAGGCGUUGAUUAUAAUCUUGUGGGAUUAUUGGAGCCAUCAGUGAGAUACCACUCUUGUAAUGUUAGAUUUCUAACUUUGAAUCAUUAUCUGGUCAAAGAACAGUUUCAGGCGGGCAGUUUGACUGGGGCGGUCGCCUCCUAAACGGUAACGGAGGCGUACAAAGGUUUCCUCUGAACGGUUAGAAAUCGUAUCUAGAGUGUAAAGGCAUAAGGAAGCUUGACUGUGAGACCUACAAGUCGAGCAGGGACGAAAGUCGGUCUUAGUGAUCUGAUAGUACUGAGUGGAAAGGCCGUCACUCAACGGAUAAAAGUUACUCUAAGGAUAACAGGCUGAUCUCCCCCAAGAGUUCACAUCGACGGGGAGGUUUGGCACCUCGAUGUCGGCUCAUCGCAUCCUGGGGCGGUAGUACGUCCCAAGGGUUGGGCUGUUCGCCCAUGAAAGCGGUACGCGAGCUGGGUUCAGAACGUCGUGAGACAGUUCGGUCCAUAUCCGGUGUAGGCGUUAGAAUAUUGAGAGGAGCCUUCUUUAGUACGAGAGGACCGAGAAGGACAUACCUCUGGUGUACCAGUUAUCAUGCCAACGGUAAACGCUGGGUAGCUAUGUAUGGAGUGGAUAACCGCUGAAAGCAUCUAAGUGGGAAGCCCACCUCAAGAUAAGUAUUCUCAGC
rnacentral:rRNA from 1 species